AACUCUGUAAAAGCUCUAAGAAACUGACACUAUUCUCCCCAUUUUUUAGACAGGACAAUCAAGUCUUAAAUAAGCUGUCUGCCCAUUGCUAUAGAGCUGGAGGAUGUAGAAUGUCACAGUAUGUCAUUCCUCAGUAGAAAGCACUGAUGACAACACUGCUUGCAUACCAGGGAAUGAACAAGGAACAUAAAAGAUGUCAACACGUCUCAUCCGUGCUUCUGCCUGCCAGCUGGGCUGACGGGCUGGUGGCAAAUGACGACUACAGAAGGUGGUUGCUGGGGUCUCAAGUAUUUUGUCCCACUGUGGAAAAGCUGACCAAUACACUAACAUCUAUGUAAGUGCAUAAAAUUUAAGCAAACUUGUCUGAGGUCACACAAC
rnacentral:lncRNA from 1 species